GAUGAACGCUGGCGGCGUGCCUAAUACAUGCAAGUCGAGCGAACGGACGAGAAGCUUGCUUCUCUGAUGUUAGCGGCGGACGGGUGAGUAACACGUGGAUAACCUACCUAUAAGACUGGGAUAACUUCGGGAAACCGUAGCUAAUACCGGAUAAUAUUUUGAACCGCAUGGUUCAAAAGUGAAAGACGGUCUUGCUGUCACUUAUAGAUGGAUCCGCGCUGCAUUAGCUAGUUGGUAAGGUAACGGCUUACCAAGGCAACGAUGCAUAGCCGACCUGAGAGGGUGAUCGGCCACACUGGAACUGAGACACGGUCCAGACUCCUACGGGAGGCAGCAGUAGGGAAUCUUCCGCAAUGGGCGAGAGCCUGACGGAGCAACGCCGCGUGAGUGAUGAAGGUCUUCGGAUCGUAAAACUCUGUUAUUAGGGAAGAACAUAUGUGUAAGUAACUGUGCACAUCUUGACGGUACCUAAUCAGAAAGCCACGGCUAACUACGU
rnacentral:rRNA from 1 species